rnacentral:lncRNA from 1 species
UCUGAUAGGGAGUCUUCACAAUAGUGAUGAAUUUAUUCAUUUUGACUGUUUGUGAAGCUCUCUAAUUAAUUCUUUAUAGAUUUCCAUCAGCGACUAAAUUUGUGUUUUGAGUUAAAAUUGGGCAUUCAGAGGAACUGCCUUGGGAUACUCUGCUCUCUCGGAGCCCCUCCUCCACACUGGCAGCUGCUGACCUCCUGUUCACUAAGCAACUGAGCAGCACCGUUUGCCUCAUAGUGACGCACCAGCAGGUGGUUACCAUGGAAUGAGACAGCAGCAAAGCACUGUCCCUGUCGUCAUGGAGCCCCUGAGCCAUCUCCUAAGCAACCUGGCAGGAGAUCCCCAAACAAAUCUAUGCUCUCUGCUCCACUGAGGUGUCAUUUUAUCUCAGUCCUCACUGCUGAGCACACACAGGCAAUGAUGAAAGUCACAGAAAGACUGUCCUGAAGGAAUCCCAGGAGAUUAACAUCGCCAUCUCCACCUUACAAACAAGGAAAAUGAGGCACAGGAGAUUUAAAUAAUUUCUCAGUGACAUUUAGCUAACGCAUGGCUAAGCACAACUUGGACCCACCGUUGUCUGUCUGACUCCAAAAUCUGAUUUCUUUCCCAUCAUCCUAGCUACUUCUCUGUAAUUUAUACAUUAGUCAGUUCUAGGGGCUUUAGCUUUUUCCAAAGAAGACCUAGUAGCAGAAUCUAUAGGAUCGUCAUUCACUGUCCAUACCAUGGCUUUACGAUGGCUCAGUGGCGAAAGAACUCGGCUCCGUGCCUCACAACCUGAGUGCAGUCUCUGGGACCUGCGUGGUGGAGACACAGAACAGACUUCUCCAAGUUGUCUUCUGACUUACAGGUGUGCAGCAUGGCAUAUUUGUACCCUCACAAGCAUAGAUAGGUGGACAGACACAUGCAAAAAAUUUUAAAAUGUAAUAAAAAAGGAUGUGAUCUCCCCAG